CUGGCUGAGUCGAGUGGAGAAAUGAACCUUCAAGCAGCUAAAAAAGGCACUCGAUGCAGUCUUGGGAAGCCCUGGAUUUCACUAAAGAUACAGAGCCAAGCCAGAAAGAUAGUAACAAUGGUAGAUGGGGUAAAAAGAAGAAAAGUCUCUGAAGACUCCAAAGGGCAGCAGAAAAGAAAAACAGAAAAUAGGUUCUGGUAACUGUAAAUCAAAGACAAUCCAGAUCAGCUUGCAGCGGAUCUGCCUUAAAAGGAGACCAUCAACAGACUAAACAGCUAGAUUGGAGAUGCUGUGGGGAUACAUGCUGCAUAACAGCAAAGGUAAAUUGAAGAGGACAAACCAGAAUCUCCUUGUUUCUGACCUAGUAGACGUGCUCCUGGCCACAGGGCCCUCAUGGAUCAAAUAUUGCACAACAAAAUACAACCCAUUAAUACUGUGUUUUCAGGUUGAAAAUCAUGUGCUUGCUCCCCAGCUGCUAUGCUGAGACAGGACUUUCUUUGCUGGUCGUAACGCUGACUGAAUGGGAACUGUAUUCUUCAGAUCUCUAUUGCCCUCUGGCCUCACUAUCCCCGUGCCCUCGGUAAACAUAACUGCUCCAUCUUCUCAAUUCAUCUACAUGACAGAAAAAGAAAUAAUGUUUUUAUUCAAAUUAAGCACCAACUAUUUGCUCCUGCAUAGGUCAGGAUAAUCGCUGAAGGUUACAGAUAUAAAACAGUGCUAUCAUUUUUUAUUAAUAUUAACAACCCAUCUUUGUUUAAAGCUUUUGGCUUUGUAUUUUAUUUCACCUAUGAUACAGUUAUUACCUCACAAAAUGGAAGAGUUCCUUUUUUAUCCACUCAGGUCACUGUAAAAAAUAUAUUAAAAAAUGAUGAUUUACAGUGAAUAAGAAGCAAUAUGUAGCACCUUUCAACCACAAGGACUUCAAACUGCUACUCAAAUUGUAUGCGCAUUAAGGGAUUGUUUCACUCAUCUGUCUCUGAAGCCUAACACGGCAGCUCUUCUGCAGCACACAGCCAGAGUUCAAGAAUUGGAAAAAAAAUUGCCUGUCCUAUGGAAACUAUAACAGAAAAUAAGGAACCAGUGUAAAUUUCUGAGCUGAAAUUUUAUCAGAACAUUAGUACCUGCCAAACAAGCCGUAAUGCAAUGCCACGAUGGGUGCCAGGCUGAGGUGCUGGCUCUUGGAGCAACAAACUUUCAUCAGCAGCACCAGCUCUUGCCCUGCCUUCUACGUUCACUUGCUUACCUUCUGCUCAGCUUUGCUAUC